rnacentral:rRNA from 1 species
GACGAACGCUGGCGGCGUGCUUAACACAUGCAAGUCGUACGGUAAGGCCCUUUCGGGGGUACACGAGUGGCGAACGGGUGAGUAACACGUGAGUAACCUGCCCACAACUUUGGGAUAACGCUAGGAAACUGGUGCUAAUACUGGAUAUGUGCUCCUGCUGCAUGGUGGGGGUUGGAAAGCUCCGGCGGUUGUGGAUGGACUCGCGGCCUAUCAGCUUGUUGGUGAGGUAGUGGCCUACCAAGGCGGCGACGGGUAGCCGGCCUGAGAGGGUGACCGGCCACAUUGGGACUGAGAUACGGCCCAGACUCCUACGGGAGGCAGCAGUGGGGAAUAUUGCACAAUGGGCGCAAGCCUGAUGCAGCAACGCCGCGUGCGGGAUGACGGCCUUCGGGUUGUAAACCGCGUUCAGCAGGGACGAAGCUUUUUGUGACGGUACCUGCAGAAGAAGCACCGGCUAACUACGUG